GCUUGGGUAGAGGUCGUGACAAGGUAGGACCGUAGGAGCAAAAGGAAGACGGCGGCUGGCGGCUGCCAUGGACGGGGGUGGAGAACGGGAGAGCACCAAGCACGAGGUGGAGGCGGAGUACCACUGCCACGACUUCGACUGGGAGGACCUCCGGGCGGAUGUGGAAGCUAACCCUUCUUUCUCCUAUCACCUGUGCCCUUUCCCCACGACCACGACCACCGACUCGCCGCCAGCACCGCCGUCGGAGGCCUGGAAAAGCUUCCACCGUCGCCACGCCUCCGGCAAGUUCUUCAAGGAAAGGAGAUAUCUGCUGAAGGAAUUUCCUGAACUACUUAAGAGCAAAGAAUGUGCAAAGGUUCUAGAGGUGGGGUGUGGGAAUGGAAGCACCGUUGUAUCAAUUCUACGAUGUAGUCCAAGCAUCACUGUCUAUGCUUGUGAUUGUAGUGAAGAUACUCUACAGAAAGCAAAUGAGAUUGUGUUCAAUACACAAGGGGUUGAUGCCAAGGAUAGGUUCCACCCUUUUUUACUGGAUGUUUCUAAAGAAGCAUUUCCAGAUUGGCUGUUCUGUAAUUGGUGUCAAAGUUUAGGUGCAAAGGCUGUUGACCUCUCACUAGAUUCAGGUCAUCAUAAUAUAAGGAAUGAACAACCAAUUGUGCUGAAGGAAAAUCAGUGUUGUAUUCACGGCAUAGAUGUUAUUACUAUGAUAUUUACGUUGUCAGCCAUACCAUAUGACAUAAUGUUAGCUACUCUACGGCGGUGUGUUUCUGUUCUGAAACCAGGUGGCCUUGUUCUAUUCAGGGAUUACGGCAUCUAUGACAUGACGAUGCUUCGAUUUUUGCCUCACCAAAGAGUGGGGUUUCGGGAAUAUAUUCGUGCUGAUGGUACCUUCUCGUACUACUUCUCGUUGGACACUGUGAGAGAACUCUUUGAUGCUGCUGGACUACUGGAGUUGGAGCUCGAAUACUGCUGUGUGAGAUCAGUGAACAGAAAGAAUGGGAAGAACAUGCGACGUGUAUGGGUGCACGGCAAAUUUCAAAAGCCCACAAGUUAACGCCGUAUUGAGAUGCUGAGCAUUGGCGCACCUGCUAAAGCCUAAAGUUGUGCCGCUGCUUGAGAAACUCUUCUCCAACACCUCGCCGCCGUCGCCAUCUGCCCAAGACCUGAACUUCGUAGUUUCCCUGGCCCCUGUGCCUUUUGUGUUCCCUUGGUGUGUGUAAACUGUGUUUGUUGGUUUGGCUCUUGGGGCUCAGUCCGUAUCCUAAGAUGGUAAUCCUAGCAUAACCUUGUUACAGUUUCAGCUGUGGGGUUUUAUUAAUUUGAAGACGGGCAUGUAGUGCCUUCUGUCUAAAAAAAGGGAGGAAGGGAGCUGAGCAAACGCGUAUCUCCAUUUGGGCAUAGCUGGCUGGAGUAGUUUACUUGGUGGGUGAGGAAGCGAGGCCCUCCAGCUCAGAGCGAACACACGGGACGCCACAGUUUUAGUGAAGCAACUUCCAGUUGAGGUCAUCUUUGAGACUGACAUGCUCAAACAAAGUGCAGCGAUGUCUGUGGACACGAAAAGUUGGUUAUUGGAGAAGGACCCCAAAUGUUCCUUCAACUUCUCAUUAUUUGGAUCUCACAACCUGGUCGUUUUGGUCUGGCCUCCGGACCAGUUAUUCCUAAUUGCAGCACAUGUAGCUCUCUUUUCUUUUUUCUUGACAGACAUGUAUCAUUUGUUUUGACAAUCAUGUAGCGCAUUUGUUAAUUAAUGACGGAACUUUGGAAACA